UAGGGAAUCUUCGGCAAUGGACGAAAGUCUGACCGAGCAACGCCGCGUGAGUGAAGAAGGUUUUCGGAUCGUAAAACUCUGUUGUUAGAGAAGAACAAGGACGUUAGUAACUGAACGUCCCCUGACGGUAUCUAACCAGAAAGCCACGGCUAACUACGUGCCAGCAGCCGCGGUAAUACGUAGGUGGCAAGCGUUGUCCGCAUUUAUUGGGCGUAAAGCGAGCGCAGGCGGUUUCUUAAGUCUGAUGUGAAAGCCCCCGGCUCAACCGGGGAGGGUCAUUGGAAACUGGGGGACUUGAGUGCAGAAGAGGAGAGUGGAAUUCCAUGUGUAGCGGUGAAAUGCGUAGAUAUAUGGAGGAACACCAGUGGCGAAGGCGGCUCUCUGGUCUGUAACUGACGCUGAGGCUCGAAAGCGUGGGGAGCAAACAGG
rnacentral:rRNA from 1 species